GAUGAACGCUGGCGGCGUGCCUAAUACAUGCAAGUCGAGCGAACAGACGAGGAGCUUGCUCCUUUGACGUUAGCGGCGGACGGGUGAGUAACACGUAGGUAACCUACCUAUAAGACUGGGAUAACUUCGGGAAACCGGAGCUAAUACCGGAUAAUAUUUCGAACCGCAUGGUUCGAUAGUGAAAGAUGGCUUUGCUAUCACUUAUAGAUGGACCUGCGCCGUAUUAGCUAGUUGGUAAGGUAACGGCUUACCAAGGCAACGAUACGUAGCCGACCUGAGGGUGAUCGGCCACACUGGAACUGAGACACGGUCCAGACUCCUACGGGAGGCAGCAGUAGGGAAUCUUCCGCAAUGGGCGAAAGCCUGACGGAGCAACGCCGCGUGAGUGAUGAAGGUCUUCGGAUCGUAAAACUCUGUUAUUAGGGAAGAACAAACGUGUAAGUAACUGUGCACGUCUUGACGGUACCUAAUCAGAAAGCCACGGCUAACUACGUG
rnacentral:rRNA from 1 species